GUGUUNNAUGCUUGCAUUUAACUGAUUUAACAUUGAGACGAGUGGCGAACUGGUGAGUAACACGUGGGUAACCUGCCCUUGAAGUAGGGGAUAACACUUGGAAACAGGUGCUAAUACCGUAUAACAACCAAAACCACCUGGUUUUGGUUUAAAAGAUGGCUUCGGCUAUCACUUUAGGAUGGACCCGCGGCGUAUUAGCUUGUUGGUAAGGUAACGGCCUACCAAGGCAAUGAUACGUAGCCCGACCUGAGAGGGUAAUCGGCCACAUUGGGACUGAGACACGGCCCAAACUCCUACGGGAGGCAGCAGUAGGGAAUCUUCCACAAUGGACGAAAGUCUGAUGGAGCAACGCCGCGUGAGUGAUGAAGGGUUUCGGCUCGUAAAACUCUGUUGUUGGAGAAGAACAGGUGUGAGAGUAACUGUUCACAUCUUGACGGUAUCCAACCANAAAGCCACGGCUUACUACGUGCCAGCAGCCGCGGUAUUUCA
rnacentral:rRNA from 2 species